rnacentral:SRP_RNA from 7 species
CCGAGCUCAGUAGCGAGAGCUUGUAACCUAAGCGGGGGCAUUAAGGUGGUGUGGAUGUUUCCUGACGGAUUCUGGGCCUGGGCCUGUAUGUGCCACUGGCCGGCCUGCCCGUUCCAAGUUGGUUGUGGCUGGUGGGGCUCGGGCGAAGGCCUGGGCCUCUUUAGACCUGAAGCGGCAGGCAUGGCGUGAGGCUGGCUUCACAGAGCAGCGAUCACUGCCCGCUUCCAACGGUGGGAGGAUAACAGGCCGCUGCAUUGCAAGCCCAACUCGGUCCAGAGCCUCAUUAAACAGACCACCAUCUUU